AGCUCCAAUAGCGUAUAUUAAAGUUGCUGCAGUUAAAAAGCUCGUAGUUGCAUUUCCGAGGCAAGGGAUUAGUCCGACCUUUGGUGGGUAUUUAAUCCUCUUGCCUCGUCCUUGAGUGGUGAUUCUUGGUAUUAAGUUAUCGAGGAGAUAGCCGCUCAUCGUUUACUGUGAGAAAAUUAGAGUGUUCAAAGCAGGCUUAUGCCGUUGAAUAUAUUAGCAUGGAAUAAUAAGAUAGGACCUCGGUACUAUUUUGUUGGUUUGAGAACCAAGGUAAUGAUUAAUAGGGACAGUUGGGGGUAUUCGUAUUCAGUUGUCAGAGGUGAAAUUCUUAGAUUUACGGAAGACGAACUACUGCGAAAGCAUUUACCAAGGAUGUUUUCA
rnacentral:rRNA from 1 species